rnacentral:snoRNA from 10 species
UCAUCAGUUCGGGUGAUCCUUACCUGUUGUCCUUAAAUGGACUUCAGAUAAGUACGUGAUGACAAUGGGUAUUAUGAGUUUAAUGACUUAUAAACACCCUAGUCGGGUAGCGGUCGCAACAACCGUUAUCUGGCAUGUCUGAG